UGCGCUGUAUAGUGUAUACCAGAUCCGCUAUACAGUGCACCACUUCCAAAGUUGGGUCCGGCGCACGAAUUUAGAGAAAACCAUUUUCGUUAGCCGAAAACUCUAAUUUUCAACUAAAUUGAAAAUACAGGAACGACGGCAUCAGUUUAGUCGCUUACGCUGCCAACUUGAUCUCAGCGGCGUGCAUGGUAGGGGCAUCCCGCAUAUUGCAUUGCACUCAUUGUCGAUUGAAAUUUAAAAAAUCUUACAAUUCUUUUAUGUUUCAAGGUUCAUCGAAAACGAAAAAUGUUUUUUCAACCUAUCUUGGACAAACUGGUGGCAACCAUGAAACCAUCGUUCGGAAUUGCAAAACGCGCAAUGCUACAGGAAGGAAGCGUAUGUGAAACGCAGUUUAGAAGAAAAGGAAGUUCUAGAUAUAUGUAUCAUCAAUGGACUACAAUUGUACACAGUUGAAUAGAAAAAAAAACAAACUUCCAAAAUAUUUCCGAAUUAUUUCCGAAGUUUGACAACUUGAAGCAUCCACGAUUAUAGCAUCUAAUGGAUUUAAGAGUAGCAAGCAACUGAUGAGUUUCCCUCGGUGGGGUAUAAAAGAAUUACAAUACAUUUACCUUCCCUAUGUUCACCUACAACAUGCUGGAAUCGAAAACAUAAUGGCAGCGCACUUUGCUGGAACCAUACCACGUUUUAAUAUAAUCGAGCCGCAUGGAAGGUUUAAUUUUAUCGAUGAAUUUAUUAGCGUGCGACUGGAUACCGUCAUACGAAGUACCUCUCAAUAAUGAUUGUGGUUUUAUAACACCUUGUCUAAUGCUUCAUGACAAAUGUGAUAUCAAUUUUCUAAUUCAUAAAUUAAUUUUCAAAUUAUGUAUUAAUUUGUUGUAAAACUAUCAUUAUUUCCUUGAAAUAAUAAGAUUGAAUAAUUCUUCAUCGAGUCCUAUUUCC